rnacentral:rRNA from 1 species
GACGAACGCUGGCGGCGUGCUUAACACAUGCAAGUCGAACGGAAAGGCCCUGCUUGCAGGGUACUCGAGUGGCGAACGGGUGAGUAACACGUGGGUGAUCUGCCCUGCACUUCGGGAUAAGCCUGGGAAACUGGGUCUAAUACCGGAUAGGAGCCAUUUUUAGUGUGAUGGUUGGAAAGUUUUUUCGGUGUAGGAUGAGCUCGCGGCCUAUCAGCUUGUUGGUGGGGUAAUGGCCUACCAAGGCGGCGACGGGUAGCCGGCCUGAGAGGGUGGACGGCCACAUUGGGACUGAGAUACGGCCCAGACUCCUACGGGAGGCAGCAGUGGGGAAUACUGCACAAUGGGAGCAAGCCUGAUGCAGCGACGCCGCGUGGGGGAUGACGGCCUUCGGGUUGUAAACUCCUUUAGCUAGGGACGAAGCUUUUUGUGACGGUACCUAGAUAAGAAGCACCGGCUAACUACGUG